rnacentral:lncRNA from 12 species
GUCGCACUUUGGUGCACGUCUCCCGAGCAGCCCCGGCAGCCCCUGGGCUCCGCCGUAAUAUACCCGUCUCCGAGGAUGCGCCUGUUGGGCUAAAUAUAGCGCGUGUCCUGGCGGUGACGCGGCCCACGGCCGGUAAUUGAUGCUCGCGUCCCCCCUCCCACGCUCCUGCACAGGCUCUGCUGGAUUCCGUCCCUGAAUUAAUUUGUGGUAAUCUGGUCCCCAAAUAAAUAACUUUCGUCUUUACGCGGCACGCUGGGUUUCAUGAGGAGCAAUAUGCAGCCCCGACAACGGGCGCUUUGCACAGGACCAGGGGACGCGUGUGCGCCGCAUCUACAAUUCAAAUGCGGGGGUGAGGGCUGAAGGCAUCAAUCUGUCCCCGUCUGCCUGCCGCAUCCAGGCCCAGCCGGAGGGGGGGCUGUGGGCACGGCCCCCCAAGAAGAUUUGGAAGCAGUGACAAGUGGAGAGACCUGAUGGCCUUCGUCCUGGGGGCUUGAUGCGCGGGCUGCGGGCAGAGCGCGAGGUCAGGAUGGAGGUGCCGCGCGUGAGGAGAUAGGAAAGUGCUGAGGAGAAUAAAGGGAAGGGGGAAGCAAACACCAGGAGGGACAGGAGGCCAGGAAGGUCCUUGAUGCGGAUACACUCACCUCUGACAGCCCGAGGCCCUGGCUGCCUCACCCAGAGGCACUAAGGAAAUCCAGCAGCCAGACCAGCACUUUUACAUGUCAAUUGACUUGCGGAUCACAGCUGCAGCACCAGAGAACUCACGAUACUCUACAGAGACACUGGAUGGAAGUGCAACUAUUCAAGGAGAUCCACUGCUACUUAGCCUGAAAUAUUCUCCAAAACCAAUUUGGUUGGAUUAAAUUGAGAAGCAAAGAGGAAGAAGAGGUUGGUUUAUGUGGGAAAGUCAACAUAAUGUGGGUGACACCCCUCAAAGGGGCAAGGCCCUUAUCACCCAAAUGCUAGUGGGCCCAUGGGGCACCUGGUGACUGUUGCCCAAUCAGAAGGAAAUGCAAAAACUCCACAAGUCUGACUGGCAUGGGCAGACCAAGCUAUGCUUGUAGAAAUGACUCACUUUAGAGGGAAAUUUGUACCCAAAGCUCCUGGAAUGCACAGGGGAGUGUUUGGGGGCAGCAGGGUAAGGAGGUGAUUAAUGGAACCUGGUACCUGUUCAUGUCAGCACAGAUUUUGCAUGUUUUUCAUGAAAAGUAGAAAUUAGAGGGUGUAAAGUUUUCAGAGAAAUCCUCCUCGAACCUUGGGCCCCAUCCCACAGCACUUCCUAAUAGAGGACUUUCCCAACAUCACCCCUUUCCUGGGCAGCUCUCCCCAGGCCCCGACUUUCUCGGCAUUCUGUCACCACCUUGCUUGCUCAUAGUCAUGUGUACGCUUUGUACCCUUGCCAGAGGCAGACCCCUAGAGGAGGGGGCUCCAUCUUUUCCACCUUUAUAGUCCCAGAGAAACCUAACUCAGUGUUUUAUGUAAGGAAGCUACUCAACAGUAGCUUGGUAUAGUAUUGGUUGGUAUAGAUUUGUAUUGAUAUAAACAAGUUUUGUAAUAUUUUAAAACAUUGGUUGGUAUAGAUAAUAAUUUGUAUUGAUAUAAAUAAGUUUUGUAAUAUUUUAAAACAUUAAAAUCCCCCCAACAUGAACAUAGACAAUAAUAAAACACUGAAAAAGAGGUUCUUCUCA